AAGUGGUUACAGCUCUUUUAGAAUAUGUCUAGCAAGUUUUCUGGCUUUAUCCGGAAAACCCUA
rnacentral:snRNA from 1 species